ACACCUCAACUCUCAUGGCUUGCCAUGAUGAGCUUGGACUUUGGGGGUCUUGCUGGCCUGCAGUCAGCUCCUCUCAAAUGUAUCAGCUUGCCAGUGUUUGGGGGCAUCACAGGUGUGAUAACUAUCUACGCUUGUGGUUUCCACCAGGUAACCUUCAGUGAUGGAGGUUCGCUGGGGCUCAUAAACGUCUCUCCUCGGUGAGGACAGCUUUUUGAAC
rnacentral:misc_RNA from 1 species